UACGUAGGGUGCAAGCGUUGUCCGGAAUUAUUGGGCGUAAAGAGCUCGUAGGCGGUUUGUCGCGUCUGCUGUGAAAACUCGGGGCUUAACCCCGGGCCUGCAGUGGGUACGGGCUGACUAGAGUGCGGUAGGGGAGACUGGAAUUCCUGGUGUAGCGGUGAAAUGCGCAGAUAUCAGGAGGAACACCGGUGGCGAAGGCGGGUCUCUGGGCCGUAACUGACGCUGAGGAGCGAAAGCGUGGGGAGCGAACAGG
rnacentral:rRNA from 1 species